rnacentral:rRNA from 1 species
AACGAACGCUGGCGGCAUGCCUAACACAUGCAAGUCGAACGAGACCUUCGGGUCUAGGGGCGCACGGGUGCGUAACGCGUGGGAACCUGCCCUUAGGUUCGGAAUAACUCCCCGAAAGGGGUGCUAAUACCGGAUAAUGUCUUCGGACCAAAGAUUUAUCGCCUUUGGAUGGGCCCGCGUUGGAUUAGCUAGUUGGUAGGGUAAAAGCCUACCAAGGCGACGAUCCAUAGCUGGUCUGAGAGGAUGAUCAGCCACACUGGGACUGAGACCCGGCCCAGACUCCUACGGGAGGCAGCAGUGGGGAAUAUUGGACGAUGGGCGAAAGCCUGAUCCAGCAAUGCCGCGUGAGUGAUGAAGGCCUUAGGGUUGUAAAGCUCUUUUACCCGGGAUGAUAAUGACAGUACCGGGAGAAUAAGCUCCGGCUAACUCCGUG